GACAGAGGUUGCAAACGUUGUUCGGAAUUACUGGGCGUAAAGCGCACGUAGGCGGCUUGGUAUGUCGGGUGUGAAAUCCCCGGGCUCAACCUGGGAACUGCAUCCGAAACUGCCUUGCUAGAGUAUGGGAGAGGGAAGUGGAAUUUCCGGUGUAGCGGUGAAAUGCGUAGAUAUCGGAAGGAACAUCAGUGGCGAAGGCGACUCUUUGGCCUGUAACUGACACUGAGGCGCGAAAGCGUGGGGAGCAAACAGG
rnacentral:rRNA from 1 species